rnacentral:rRNA from 1 species
GUCUACGGCCAUGCCACCCUGAACAAGCCCAAUGUCUGAGCUCGGAAGCUAAGCAGGGUCGGGCCUGGUUAGUACUUGGAUGGAAGACCACCUACGAAGACCAGGUGCUGUAGGCA